GGGCGCCACGUGACGCGCUGGGCGGUCACGUGAGGGCGGCCCACGUGACGCGCGGGCAGGCGGCUAUGGCGGAGGAGGAGGAGGAGCGGGCGCUGCUGGGCCCCGGCGGCGGCGGCGGCGGCUCCGGUUGCGGCUCCCCGCCGGGGGGGCCGCGCGGCCUGUCCGCCGCCUGCGACCCGCGGCGCCUGCCGCACCGCCUCCUGGUGCUCGCCCUCAUGUGCUUCCUGGGCUUCGGCAGCUACUUCUGCUACGACAACCCGGCGGCCCUGCAGACGCAGGUGCAGGCGGACAUGAAGGUGAACACGGCGCGGUUCAUGGCGCUCUACGCCUGGUACUCCUGGCCCAACGUGGUGCUCUGCUUCUUCGGAGGCUUCCUGAUAGACAGAGUGUUUGGGAUACGGUUGGGCACAAUAAUAUUUAGUAUCUUUGUUUGUGUUGGGCAGGUGAUUUUUGCUUUGGGAGCACUAUUUAAUGCUUUUUGGCUGAUGGAAGCAGGCAGAUUUGUGUUUGGAAUAGGUGGAGAGUCCUUAGCUGUGGCGCAAAACACUUAUGCAGUCAGUUGGUUUAAAGGCAAAGAAUUAAAUCUUGUGUUUGGAUUACAGCUAAGCAUGGCCAGAAUUGGGAGCACAGUGAACAUGAAUGUCAUGGGAUGGAUAUACUCCAGAGUUCAAGAUCUUCUGGGGCAUACUGGUCACAGUACUCUUGGGUUAACUCUCUUGAUAGGUGGCAUAACAUGUCUCCUUUCCCUGGCUUGUGCAUUAAUCCUUGCUUAUCUGGACAAAAGAGCAGAGAAGCUCCUUUGUAAAGAGCAAGGAAAAACUGGUGAAGUGAUUAAGCUCACUGAUGUGAAGGACUUCUCUUUGUCUUUGUGGCUCAUAUUUGUAAUCUGUGUCUGUUAUUAUGCAGCUGUCUUUCCUUUCAUUGGACUUGGAAAGGUUUUCUUCAUUGAGAAAUUCAAAUUCUCAUCUCAAGAAGCAAGUGCAAUUAACAGUAUUGUUUAUAUCAUAUCAGCACCCAUGUCCCCUGUCUUUGGACUCCUGGUGGAUAAAGUUGGAAAGAAUAUCAUCUGGGUUUUAUGUGCUGUAGUAACUACACUCGCUUCUCAUGUCAUGUUGGCCUUUACCUUCUGGAACCCCUGGGUAGCAAUGUGUUUACUAGGAGUGGCUUACUCGCUGCUUGCCUGUGCCCUGUGGCCCAUGGUGGCCUUUGUAGUUCCAGAACAUCAGUUGGGAACUGCUUAUGGCUUUAUGCAGUCUAUCCAGAAUCUGGGUCUGGCAGUUAUUGCUAUAGCAGCUGGUAUGAUACUGGACACAAGAGGAUAUCUGUUUCUUGAGGUGUUCUUCAGUGCUUGUGUUUGCUUGUCACUAAUAGCUGUAGUCAUGCUGUAUUUUGUGAAUCACCUCACAGGAGGUGAUCUUAACUGGUCUGCAAAGAAAAGGGAAAAACUGCAAAAAGUAGCUGCAACUGAGACCUUGGAAGUCUUUAACCGUAACAGCAACAGUAGUGGAUUCUUCAUCGUGAACCUCCCAGAGCGCCUGUCUUUGGCCCGCGACCAAGACACCAGGAAUGAUUUUGUUCAUGCUUUCCUGCGAAGGGCGGUGCUGGAAUCGGCUUGCUUGGCCCGCUGCUCAGCUAGCAGACAUAGCUGAAUAUAUCCUGUACCCUGAACUGAACCUGAACGCUUGUCGCAGACCUGCUUCAGCUAAAACUCUGCAUCUCUGUGGAAAAGCAGGAACAGAUGAUUUUCUUCCACUGGAAGGGCAGACAACAGUCCUUGUUCACAAAAAGGGUCUAGCGGCGAUGCAAUCUCCCUCGCUGUACCGGAGCUGCGGACUGGCACCGUUGGCACCCUCAGCAGAAAUCCUUCCGACCCUGAUGUGUUUUGUGAAGCCUGAAGUUGCAGGUUUAAGUCUCUAGGUGUCCGUUCUGUUUGGAGGCCUCGGGGUUUCCUGGUGUGAAGCAGCCCGUGAGCCCAGGCCACAUCAGCGGGAUGCUCCAGCAGUGAGCUCCAUCCACGUGAGAGUGCUGCAAGCGCAGGAUGAAGAGAAAAACGGACUGAAAAGCUAUUGGACAUGCCAGAAAAGGAAGCAGAGAGUCCACCAUCGAUUUUUCCCGGCAGAGCAUGCAAUGUGAAGCUGCUGUGGAAAUGACAGUUUGGGAGCAAGACAGCUGCUUUCUACAAAAUCUUCCCUCCUUCUGUUAUAUCCUGGGGAAUAACCGGUGUUUGGGACUGGUGUGUUAUUCAGUGCAUUAUGGAGGGGUUCUGGGGUGUGUGUUUUGGGGCAACUUUAACUAAUCCAGCUGGGAAUGGUGCCCCUGGAGAGGUUUCAGUUGUGUUUGUGUGACUGGAUUUGACCUUUGAAGGAAGGCACACAUAUCUUCCCUAGAAUAUCUGUGGAUAUAGGCUGAAAUUUUCUCAUUCUGCAAGCAAAAGGUGGGUCCUUUUAGCAAACAGAAGCAAGAAAAUAGCUUCUGUUUUGUUUCCUCUGAAGGAGCAAGUUUCACUCUUUCUGGUAUCUUUAAUUUUCAUAUGAUAUCUGCAGAUCUGUAAAUGUCAGGCUGUUCUGUUCCUCAAAUUAUUAAAAUCUGUUACUGUAAUAUCUUAAUUAACUGACUUAUUUACAUGUUUACAAAGCUGCUUCUCUGGAUAUAAAACAGCUGCUAAUGUCAGUGAUUCAGAAACAGUGUAGCUGGCAUCUUGCGUUUCUCGUCAGCUGCACCAGUAAUUGAACAUAACUGGCCACUUCAAGUUAAGGUAAGUGAUGUAACUGCCUUAUAGCAUCCUAGGUGCAGUGGUUUACUUACGGCAAUUGAUGAAAAAAAUCUCAAAUAUCACUUAGAUAUUUAUGGGAAAUUGAUUGACCUGUUUAAUGGUAAAGACUUAAGGCCAUUUUUUGUUUAUUCUAGCUGGUAUUUGGUAGGUAACUGAGCUCCCUUGGAUCUCCUAAGACUCUGGCAGGUGGGAGCAGGACCUGACCUUUCCAUGAACGGAGCAUCUUGCUGCUGGGCUGGGCCAUCCCCAAAGCCUGUGAAUGGUUAGUGGCUGCAGCCGGUUCUUCAUUUCAGCCUUGGCAGAUUUACAGGUAGGCGAAAAUGCUUCCAAACCCUGUCCCUCCUGCUUUCGCACACUCCAAAUAUUGUGGCGACAAGUGUGAGGAGUGCUGCUAACCGCAGCGAUGCAGCUUUCUGCGAGCUCGUCUGGGCCGCUGGCAGGGCCAGGGCAAGCUCACCCGCCCCUGGUCGCUGCCCUUCGUCUCUGGGGCCAGCUGGGCUCGCGGCGUUGGCACGAGGGGCUCAGCCAGCACUGUGCCAGCGCUCCUGGAGAGAAGCCACCGGUUUGGAAAGGAAAGGUAGAAGCAGUGUUUCUAUGAAAAGUCACUGCUUUUAUUCUCAGCCUAGGAAGGAAGACGACUGUCAAUUCGCACAGUGAUAUCAGACAAAUACCCAAACAUACUCACUUGAGCAAUGGGAAGUACUUCAGGAAUAAAUGUGAAGUCAUCAUUGAUUCGAGUAUGUGACACAGAGCCCGUGAAUGUUUUCUUUCAGACAAUCUUUGGUUUUUUUUGUCAUUUGUAUUAUUUUAUAUUAUUAUAUACACUUUUAAUAUCUAUUUUAUAGAACAGCAGUGAGAACAAAUGAGCUCGAUCUGUUGGUCAAGAAUGAGGUCUGUUGGGGAACUGUCUCUUAAAAUGAUUUCACAGUGUUCCUGGUUGGCCCCUGGUAAACUGGAUAAUUUUUGCAUGGCUACCUGUGUGAUCUCUUCCAGUCCGGCAUUCCUGGGUAAGUCAGUCUGCUAACCUGACUUUGAAAACUAACUUGCUUUGACUUUGCUGUUGCUUUGACACAAGUUGGCUAACUUAGGGUAACCUUCAUGUAAGAAUGCACCCGACCUUGAAUAUGAGAUCAACAGCAAAACUUCUCUUGUGACACUUAAGCUAUUGGAAUUUCUUAUACAAGGAGCUUCCAAAAGCAGAUUUUACAGUCUUUGUAUAUAAAAUUCACUUAAAAUAGUUGUUUGUGAGACCAGAGUUGAUAACCCAGUGUAUGAAAUCUGCCAGAAAUGAUUGAUGCACAGAUGAGACGCUGAGUGAAAAGUGAAGGGAAGGUGUGGGAUUGCAAGGCUUCAUUUAAAUACAAAGGCAAUGUAUUUAUAUUGAUUUAUUUUUAUGCCAAUAGGUUCUGACAUAAAUGUAGUGAUAUAUAAUGUAUUGACUAUAAUGUCAACAUUAUUUUAAAGCUGACUCAGGGAAAAAUAUCUCACUGUUAGUGCUGAAAUAUAAUGGUUUAUUCUGCUGAAGGGGAAAGCCUAUGAAAAUAUGAUCCAAAUAACCUCUUUCUUAAGACCCUGUAUAAUGGCUUUUAAAAUGACUUCACACAUUCCUAGUGAGUAACAGCAGAGGUGACCUGGGUCUGCGCACUGUGUCCUGAAAUUGUUUUGGGAGUUGAAGUGUAAUAGCAGCCUGUGACGAGGACGAGCGUGUCACGCUGCCGCGUCUGCAGCCCCACGUGCUGAAGGUGAGGGUAAGGUGGAGGCACGGCUCUUCAGACAGCCCUGCCGCACAGCUCCUGCAGCUGCCUUCCGCUUUCAAGUACCCUAAAUUUGCAUCCGCGCUGCACAGCUCGUUGUCUGUUAGGUGCACCCUAUUUGCAUGCGGAUUUUAAUGCUAGGCACGGUUUUGUGCCUAGCAUUGUGCAUGUUGUGCUGUGUUAAACUAUCGGAUUACACGUCUGUGGAUUACGUGCCUUUUCCUGAAGUCAAGAGGAAAGGCCCGUGCUAAGAUGUCAAAUGACCUUUCAUUUGAGGCCUGGAUGCUUUUUAAUUUUUUGGUGUGUUUUGGAGCUGAUCUUGCUAGGGGUGGAAGAACUGCUGGAUGCCCUGGGGUGAAAAGAUAGCUUUUCAUUGACUGAACAGCCUCAUCCAGAGCGGUUUCACCCUUUUUCCUUCCUGCUUCUUUUCUUUACUUUCUAUUCUAAAUUUUGCAGGUCACAUAUUCGGACGUUCACUGAAGCAACGUUACCUUCGAGACCAGGUUAAAUGAUGUUGGCUGUAGCCAUUGGAAAUUGGUGGAAACUGCAUGCCAGCAGCAGGUCUGCAUUCCCCCUCUGUGCUCACAUCUGGCCCCGGGGAUGUAACUUCCAGCAUACUUUCCACUUAGGUCCACUUCCUUCACAGUCUGCUGUAUCUGCUUGCUAUUUGCUUUUUUUUAAAAAGAAAUCCUCUCUGAAAAUGCUUCAGUUAACUGAUGCUCACCAUAAGUAUUAGAGCUUGGCUGCACAAAAAGCAGCAGUGCUGGAGCCACGAGGUUGGCUGCUGCCCUCCGGGUUAGUAACGUGGCCGUGCUGCAGCCCAGGAACCACCGAUGGUCACAGUGGCAGUGUGUGUGUGUUGAACGAGGGUUUUCUUUGUAUCGAAUAGCUCCUGUUACUUAGCUUGCAGUUAUUCUGCCUAAAUUAGCUUAAGUCUACCUUUGCGUUUUUUGCAACAUUUCAUCCCUUUUUACCCUAAGUGUCUUUAUAGUGAAUUUUUCUUAGUAUUUGUAUAUAUGGAAAUGGUUGUGCUUAUUGCUCAGUGUUGGAGCUAAGAGACAGGGCAUUUCCUAGUAGUUUUGAGCCUGCUGCUGGCGUGCUGCUCUGGAUAAGUCCCUUAAACCCAUGGCCAGCAAUAUCGAGUGUCUUGAGUCACAGGACCUCCAGGUGAAGAUGGGCUGUGGGCCAGGAGCAGUAGGGAUGCUCAGGAAGGUUGCUCGCAGCUCCUGGCAUUUUCAGCCUGUGGUUUUGCCCCUCUGACUCAUUUCUGCCUUGCAGCAUCGAACGUAGCAGCCUGGGCCACUUGCAUAAUGGUCUAUCUAUAUGUUCGUGGUACGUGGGGUACUGCAAAGUUUUAAUUGAAGUAUGUUAAUUGUUUAAAAAGUGCCAAGUGGAGGGCACUGUACAUAGAUGCACGCUUUUUCCCUCUGUGUGAAAUUAUUUUUCUUUCUCAUUUUCUUCUACAUCUUUUUUUUUUCUGCUUUCCCUUUAUACAGGCUGCUGGUACAAAGGGCUUAUUCAUGAGGUUAACCUAAUUACUGUCUUCAGAAACAAAGCCUGUUUCUACAGUGAAUAUCCUUUUGAAAUCCAUCAUCUGAAUAUUGCCUAAUAAAGUUAGCAAAUGGCCUGCAAAUGAACCAAAAUGACUCAGUGUCUUGUCUAGCAAAGAAUGUGUUAUGUUUUUUUUGAUACUGACAAAAAUGUUUAAAAUUCUUAAUGCAUUGCUUUGCUAGUGGAUUAAUAUGCAUUUUUUCUGUCUUGAGAUGAAAAACACUGUCUGGAUUUAAUGCAACACUUACAAAAUUGCUGAUGUGAGUCUGUUAAAGCAAUUUUAUAUACACACUAGAGACAACUGGAAAGUUCACUUUGAGUAGAUCAAAUACUUCUAAUCAGUAACUAAAAUGUAUUCAUAAAGUUGAAAGACACUAAGGCAUGAAUUUAACUGCCUUCAUAUAUUUUCUGUGCUUGAUGCAAAGGUGAUACAUUUUUCAUGUAAGCAAAGCUCCUUGGAGUAGCAUAUGCUUUGGGGAGAUAAUUACGGAAGAUCAAUAUGUACUGAUUGAUUGAGUUUUGACGUAAGUACACGUUCUCUGUCUGUUUGGAUACAAUGAUGGUCGAGCCUUAGCGUAUGCUUCUGUUGGUUAGAGUCCUGAGCUUUACAGAAGUAUUAAAAAUUCCUUCACAGUGGCUUGCCUGUGAAUUUUUAAUUCUGUGCUGGAGUGCGGUCUGACCACUUCUCUCUCUUUUUUUUUUUAUCCUGGAAAUGAGCUGCAUCCCUUGGCCCAGCCCCAGCUGCUGCGGACUGCUCCCACUGGAGCUUAAUUACUGUGCAUCUUUGUAACUUGGAAAAUAUUAGUUUACUGAAAAACAUUUCAGAAAGCAUACUGUAAAAAUACCUUUUUCCUACUGAGUGCAAAAAUCCAAUGUUAAGCAGUGAUUAUGCUUGAUGUGUUCAAAGGAAAGAUCAUUAUUUUAGUUAAUUCUUAAAUAGCUCUCUGGUUUGGAAAUAGUAUCUGAAUUAAUGGUAUUUUGGGCAUCGUUACAUAUUAAUGGACUCCAUUUGAUUUAUUUUUUCUGGCAGUUAUCCACUUGCGCAAUGUACUGUGCCUGACCAUUCCAUUUUCCCUUGUUAUUGAGAGGCAGAGCGCGGGUUAGUACCUCGAGCCAACAAGGGAGUCUGCAUGUGAACAUCGUAGGAUCUUGCGUCGUUUUUAAUGGUGAGUUAUGGACUGUCACGCAGAAUAUCUGGACGCACUUAAUAACUUUCUGAUGGCCACUGUAACAGACAUAAAGGUAAGUAUGUGUUGUCACUGAGCCGCUAAAGAGGCAGCCUUCCACUCACCAGAUGCUGUUAUGCUGCUUUGAAUGGUCUUUAUAGCUAUUUUUGUAAUUACAAACUUUUUUUUCUAGCUCCAGUAGCGCUUAAAUAAAAAACUGAUCCCGUGGAAUUUUAGUGCUGAAUAUUAAAGUUGGCAUUUAUUUGCAAGAGUCACUUUGGGGUGCCUAAUUUGUCCGCAAGAGCAAGGUUUUCUGCUCAGCCUGCAAAAUGGUGCAAUAAAAAUCAGUGAUUGAUGUUUAUUAUCAGAUUAAAUGGUUUAGCUGUGGGGAUCAAAGCUGUAAAUUACUGCACUCCCCAAGCUGUGAUUGGCCACCAGAGAUCUUUCUAAGUGCCAGCAUUUUUUAAUGAGAUCGUAUAUUUUCAGGCCUCUAACGGUAUCAACUUUUGUAGUUUAUUGAAACUGUGUUUAAAAUAACAGCCUACCAGGUGUCAAAAAUAUUGCAUGUGUUGUAUUUGCUUGGUCAAACAUCCCGGAGGAAAAAGCCGCGAGUUAAAAGCGGUGAUUUUGAUUCCUGACCCAACGUAGCGGUCGGGUCCGAGAAGGAGCGCUGCGUUUUGGAGGAUGCUGUCCUGACUAUCCGCUAGCGCGGGUUUUGCUUCGUUUCAUUUUUGGUUGUUCCGCUCAUGGGCUGCUCCUUGGGCUGUAGCGUCAGUAGGGACACAGGGCGAUGCCAAGGGGAGCCAUAAAUUGGUGUGAGGUGUGUUACUGUGUCCACCCCAACCCAACUAACCCUGCUGCUCCUUGCUGAUGUGUGAUGUUAGAGGAGGGAUAGCUCAAGAGGUUGGCUGAGGUGUAGUAUUCAUAGGCGCUAAAUAUUUCUGUUCUUGAUAGUCGUGGAAGGACUACACUGUUAGUGUAGUUUUGGCCAGAUCCAUCAAGGAUUAAGAGUAAAUUUUUCCCCACUUGGGAGAUUGGCCGUAUUGGGGCCAGCGUUUUACUCCAUUGUUCAUCAAAGUAUGGGGACAAAAAGUCUAAAUGGCACAACAGUCUAAACUCUCAUAUUAUUUGCAUAUAUGGCAAGGGCAUGCCCCCAAACAUCAAAAGCAUGUUAUUCAGUGAUGGGCACUGCAGGAAAGAAAUACUGAGAUAAUUUUCUUGAUUGCUCUUAAACUCUCUAUCUGAAAACCAGUGGUCAAAGAAUAGCUGAAAUUUAGUCUUUCAUUAGAGAAGACUAAAUUAUAUUGUUGCUUGCUAUAGGAGAUUUAUAAUUGGGGAAAAUCUUAACUGUGAAACCAUUAAUCUACAGUACAGUACUGUAGCAUCAAAAGCAAGACAUUGUCUUCCUGUCCCCAGGACAUUCUUUGAGUAAAACAAAUGAUUUUCUAACAAAGGAGGUCUUUUUUCUUUUAUGUUAAAAAGUUGGUCUUUUUUCCUUGUGGCUGCAUCUACUCUCAGGAGAGCCUGAUUAAGCAGUUCAGUUCAGAAGAGUUUGUACUGGAGCGUCAGUUUGCGGGGAGAGAUCUGUCGGCAUGCUGGGGGGUCUUCCAGUCGGUCGGCGCGGCUCGGUUGGAGGGCGAGGUUCAAAGCCUGCUCUUCCCUUUCAUUCGUCCUGCAUCAGCACAUUGCGUGCUCUUCCCGCUGCACCCGGGAAAAUGUGGGUUUUCAAAGGUACCAGUUCUGUAAAUCUCCCGGGAGCAGCCGUUUCUGCUCCACAGCCAGAGGAAGGAAGAUCCUUUGAGGCUCCUUUGGUGGCAAGGAGCAGUAGCUCGGUCCUGGAGGGCUGAAUACCUGACUGACUGCUGGUUGAGAGGUGUCAGAGAAAGUGCAUCUCACGUCCAGGUAGAACAUGGAUAGAGGAGGAGAUCCCAUUUCUUGGUGUGCCGUUGGAAUCGUUUCCCGAUGCCGGCAGAAACAGAGCGGAGUGGUUGGCUCCAUCCCAGCGCCUUAAGGGAUGAUCUCCGUCCGUGGGCUGUGAGCGAGCUGAGAGUAUGGAGCUGCUAUAUUCUGAGCUCGGUGAGAUACGAGGGCUUGCAGAGGGCCUUGCCAAGCUGGCGUUAGGUCGUGGAGAGAAGCUCUACGGGACUAGAGGGCACGGGGGACAGGAUGGAGGAGUGGACGAGGAGCAGAGCAAAGGCAUCGUUCUGGGGUCAGGACGCGGGAUUUGUGCCUGUUACACUGCACCUUGGGUAACUGUAAACUGGGUAUUUUAACCAGAAUAAAAUUGAAAGCCUGUUUGGUUUUGAAUUUGAA